rfam:Paludibacter jiangxiensis DNA, scaffold: PJIAN_4, strain: NM7.
AAAGCAGGCCGGCUUGUCGCUUUUCCGUUUGUGCGGAGAAGAGGAAAGUCCGGGCAACGCAGAGCACCAUAUUUCCUAACGGGAAGCUGUUCGUGAGGGCAGAGUAGCGUAACAGAAAAUAACCGCCACGACUCGUUUGUGGUAAGGGUGAAAAGGUGGGGUAAGAGCCCACCGGCGCUGAUGGCAACAUCGGCGGCCGUACGUCUUAUGGGUUGUAAGGCCAUGUAUACCGGCGCUUGAGGGUUGCUCGCCCAAGCCGGAGGGUAGGCCGCAAGAGUUGAUUGGUGACAAUCUUCCCAGAUAAAUGACAGGCAUCCCGUUUCGGCGGGAUACAGAACCCGGCUUACAGGCCUGCUUUUUUA